rnacentral:rRNA from 1 species
GGGUUUGAUUCUGGCUCAGGAUGAACGCUGGCGGCGUGCUUAACACAUGCAAGUCGAACGAACCUUAGGGUUAGUGGCGGACGGGUGAGUAACGCGUGAGAAUCUGCCCUCAGGAGGGGGAUAACAGCUGGAAACGGCUGCUAAUACCCCAUAUGCCGCGAGGUGAAAUGAAUUUCGCCUGAGGAUGAGCUCGCGUCUGAUUAGCUAGUUGGUGUAGGUAAUGGCUCACCAAGGCAUCGAUCAGUAGCUGGUCUGAGAGGAUGAUCAGCCACACUGGGACUGAGACACGGCCCAGACUCCUACGGGAGGCAGCAGUGGGGAAUUUUCCGCAAUGGGCGAAAGCCUGACGGAGCAACGCCGCGUGAGGGAUGAAGGCCUCUGGGCUGUAAACCUCUUUUAUCAAGGAAGAAGAUCUGACGGUACUUGAUGAAUAAGCCACGGCUAAUUCCGUG